UCGGGAAUUUUGGGCAAUGGGCGAAAGCCUGACCCAGCAACGCCGCGUGAGGGAUGAAGUAUUUCGGUAUGUAAACCUCGAAAGAAUGGGAAGAAUAAAUGACGGUACCAUUUAUAAGCUCCGGCUAACUACGUGCCAGCAGCCGCGGUAAUACGUAGGGAGCAAGCGUUGUUCGGAUUUACUGGGCGUAAAGGGCGCGUGGGCGGCGCGGUAAGUCACUUGUGAAAUCUCUGAGCUUAACUCAGAACGGCCAAGUGAUACUGCUGUGCGAGAGUGCGGAAGAGGCAACCGGAAUUCUUGGUGUAGCGGUGAAAUGCGUAGAUAUCAAGAGGAACACCUGAGGCGCAGGCGGGUUGCUGGGCCGACACUGACGCUGAUGCGCGAAAGCCAGGGGAGCAAACG
rnacentral:rRNA from 1 species